rnacentral:rRNA from 1 species
ACACCAUAGGGCUGGCCGUCCCAUAUGAAAAGAUUUUAUUAGAAUUGAAUGAAACUUUGUUUAUAUAUUGAUAAUGACAGUAUAUAUAUCGUGUCUUGACUAAUUGCGUGCCAGCAGUCGCGGUAAUACGUAAGAGACUAGUGUUAUUCAUCUUAAUUAGGUUUAAAGGGUACCCAGACGGUCUAUAUAGCUUAUAAAAUGUUAGUAUAAGACUAGAGUUUUAUGUAAGAGGGCAGUACUUGAGGAGGAGAGAUGAAAUUUCGUGAUACCAAAGGGACUCUGUAAAGGCGAAGGCAGCCCUCUAUGUAAAAACUGACGUUGAAGGACGAAGGCACAGAGAACAAACAGGAUUAGAUACCCAAGUAGUCUUUGCAGUAAAUGAUGAAUGCCAUAGGUUAGAUCUAUAUUUCUAUUAUAAUAAUACAUUUCUAUUAUUUAUUAUAAAACGCAUUCCUUAUAUAGCUUCGCGCUAUAAUAUAUUUUAUAUAUAGUGCAGCAGAAAUUUUUGUAUCUGGUCUAUAAAUGAAAGU